rnacentral:rRNA from 1 species
AGAGUUUGAUCCUGGCUCAGGAUGAACGCUAGCGGCAGGCUUAACACAUGCAAGUCGAGGGGCAGCAUAGUAUGUAGCAAUACAUAUUGAUGGCGACCGGCGGAUGGGUGCGUAACGCGUAUGCAACCUACCUUUUACAGGAGGAUAACCUUUCGAAAGGGAGACUAAUACUCCAUAGUAUUAUUUAGAGGCAUCUUUAGAUAAUUAAAUAUUUAUAGGUAAAAGCUGGGCAUGCGUAUGAUUAGUUAGUUGGUAAGGUAACGGCUUACCAAGGCGAUGAUCAUUAGGGGUUCUGAGAGGAAGGUCCCCCACACUGGUACUGAGACACGGACCAGACUCCUACGGGAGGCAGCAGUGAGGAAUAUUGGUCAAUGGGCGCAAGCCUGAACCAGCCAUGUCGCGUGCAGGAAGACUGCCCUAUGGGUUGUAAACUGCUUUUAUAGUAGAAGAAACACAUCUACGUGUAGAUGUCUGCCAGUAUACUAUGAAUAAGCAUCGGCUAACUCCGUGCCAGCAGCCGCGGUAAUACGGAGGAUGCGAGCGUUAUCCGGAUUUAUUGGGUUUAAAGGGUGCGUAGGCGGCUUUGUAAGUCAGCGGUGAAAUUUUGCAGCUUAACUGUAAAAGCGCCGUUGAUACUGUGAAGCUAGGAUUUGGUUGCUGUGGGCGGAAUGUGUGGUGUAGCGGUGAAAUGCAUAGAGAUCACACAGAAUAUCGAUUGCGAAGGCAGCUCACAAAGCCAAUAUUGACGCUGAGGCACGAAAGUGUGGGGAUCAAACAGGAUUAGAUACCCUGGUAGUCCACACUGUAAACGAUGAUAACUCGCUGUCGGCGAUAGACCGUCGGUGGCCAAGCGAAAGCGAUAAGUUAUCCACCUGGGGAGUACGACCGCAAGGUUGAAACUCAAAGGAAUUGACGGGGGCCCGCACAAGCGGAGGAACAU